AGAGAGAGAGAGAGAGAGAGAGAGACUGGAACCCGAAGUCUUUGAUUUCAGCCGUUUUCGAUCAGGUGUAUGGAUGCUGGUGAUACAAAUCUACUUAUAAGAGUAGACUAGUUAUAUAGAAUGGAAAAAGAUAUUAGACUGGUCUUCAAGAACGGAAAAGACCGAAGAAGAACUUUAAAGUCUGGGAAUAGAUUGGUUUUCAAAAAUGGAAAAGACGGAUACACUGGUUAUCAAGAACGGGAAGAACUGAGGAAUGGAUUUGAAUCUCAUCCUGCUACAGAAAUUAUUUUAUAAGGAGAGAAAUAUGGUCAGAAACUCAACUUUUGGAUCUGUUAGUUGAGACAAGACAGAACUCUCCUAGAUUGACUCCAAGACCAUCUGCUCACCUGGCAAGGCUUUUAAUCAAGACUACUGCUCUCAUUUUUUUUUUUUCUAUCUUGAAAAUAGGAGCUUGCCUCAAUCAAGACAAUCAUCAGUUCACCUGACAAGACUUCGAUGAAGACUUAUACGAAGUUUUUUUUUUUUUUAGUUUGUUUGUACUUAUAGAUGGAUUUAAAAUACCAUGUUGCCAGCUCACAUCUAUGUAGUUAGGACUGAUUCAUCAUUGAGCAAAAUUAGGCAUCAUUGAGCAAAAAUUUUAACAAUUUUAAUUUCAACAUCUUAAGAGUUUGAAUAGGAGUCAUCUUUAGAGUAAGAAUUUUUAUUUUAACUGAGUAAGUUUUAAUCUUAGACAUCAAAUUUUAAUCUUGACACAUCAGUUUGAGUAAAAAUUCUAACAUCAGUAUGAAUAAAUUUUGAUUUUCAAAAAAAAAAACUAGCGAGUAGAUUUUGAUUUUAACAGCAAAAAUUCUAGUUUUUUAAUAAAUAUGAAUUUAAAUGACCAUGUAUUUUGGACGUAAUUUAGAGACUUAAAUUGUACUAUAAUCUUAUAUUGUACGAUAAUUUCAUAUUGUAAAUUGGCAAUGUUAAGCAUUUUAAAUAUCUCAAGGUAGCCAUACUUAGAGUCAGUAUUAAAUUAGUAAUUUACAGUUUUCUUAGGUGAGCAAGUUUGUCUUCACACACACCCACUGUUCCAAGUACCACCUUCGCUACUUAAAACUACGUAAUUGUCUCCUAAAUCAGUUAAACUGAUUUCGUACAUUAGGCACAUUGUAAAAUAAUGGAAGCUUGACUAUAAAGGUCUAUUUUACCUAAUGACAAUAUAAAGCUCUGUACACUCGUAAGGUAAAAUCUUCACCACUAUGAAGACCUAUUUUACCUCACUAGCAAACUUUGGGUGAUAAAAUACGGGUGCAGAAGUGAAAAAUUUAUAUGUACUAUUUAUUCAGUAAUAUUAAAAUAAGGGCGGUUACACGGAUAGUCUCUCUCUCUCGUAAUGUAAUUCAAGGGACGAUCACUGAACGCAGAGAAAUUCUUAUUGUUGUUUCCCCUCUUUUAAUGAUUCUCUCUCUCUCUCUCUCUCAAUGUAAGUCAAGUAACUAAGACGGUGAUGGGAUUAUCGGAUUACUUAGCUCUCAAAUCACAAAUUAUCUCCUCUUUCUCUCUCAUUUUUGGAUAGCAAGAUAAAAUUAUAAAAUUGUAGUUCAUUAAUGUCGUUAAAUGGCUCUCGCUCGCUCUCUCUCUCGUCGGAGACUUUCAUUUAACGGAACAGGGAUCUUGAUUGGUUAGUUUCUUUGUUAAUUACUUUGCACGGUGAUUCUAAUAAUAAAGUAUCAUUCUUUUCAUUAUGUUACUGCAAAGACGCAACUUGUAUGUCAGUGCGUUAUGGCUGUAGUAGAAAGUAGGAACUUGUCAGUUUCCUUUUUAUGAUGUCCAUUGGCAGGAUCGAAAUUCCGAAGCAACAUUACCGUUAUUUUGUGCACUGGCAGUCCCGAUGGAUUUAACUUAUUCAAAAAAUCUUGCGGAUAUUGAUGAUAAUUUUCAUCUUCUAUUGUGUCCGAGCUGAAAUAUUAGCGACUUUCUCCGGGGAAGUUGUACAGAAAUUAUAUAAGGAAAAACCGUAAAGUAACUUAGUCUACGGGAAUAACCAGCCUCGUUUCACGGCCAGAAACUGCUGCGUUUCAGGGAAUCCCUUCUCACCCCCACCCCCUACAAAGGAGGGGGGUAGGUUGGAUGAAAUCCCAUUACAAACCAUCUUAGGGGUCCCCGCUAUGACCCGGCAAAGUUUCAUGCCCAUCUGGCCAGCCGUUUGGCCGUGAUUGAAUGACAGACAGACAGACAAUUAUAGUAUGAUAAAGAGAUUAUAAAGCUCUGUACACUCUCUAUGGUAAAAUCUUCACAGUCAAGCUUUCGUACAUUAAUCAAUGGUUAAAAUAAUGGAAGUAGUUUUACUGAAUUAAGAAGCUAGUAGUCUUAAGUAGCGAAGGUGGUACUAACUCCCACAGCUGUCAAACUAAUGUAUAAAAUUACGGUAACACUUUACUAUCGAAAUUACCAUAAACACCAUAAACAAUUAAGUUUAAGAUUUUCGUCUAUGGAGAUUUUCAUUACUGUAUAUAAUACUGUUAUACUUUAUAUAAUAUA